GUUUCACCUAAAGCUGUCUCGUUACAUUUUUAAAGUUUGGCCUAAAGGUUUCUCUGUACAUAGUGAAUGGUAAUCUCCGGACGUGUAAACAAGCUGUAACCUAUUCUUGUACCAAUUGCUGAGUUUCAGCCAAUAAAAUGCAGCCAACUGUUGAAACCAUGUUCAAAUAAGGCAAGUAUCAAGCUGUAAGCAAUCCAGCUGUUUCUGUACUUCAGUUUCAUUUUCUGUACAUCACUUUCCUUUUUCUGUACAUAAGUCUUCAACCAUGUGGUAGUGCCAGAGUCUCUUUGAACCUAUUCUGGUUCUAAGGGCUGCCUGAUUUGUGAAUCACUGUUUCCUCAAUUAAACUCUGUUAAAUUUAAUUUGUCUAGUUUUUCUUUUAACAGAUGGUGUCAGAAGUGGGAUCCGAAGUAGAACCUCUAGCAAUCCCCAGAAGCACUGAGUGACGAAGCAUGGUACCAGUCAGACUCUCUGUGUCCAUUCCUCUCUUGCAGCAACUGGGGAUUGUGGGUCUAAUCAAUGGUGCUCUAACUACAGAACAGCGAAUCUUAACCUGGGGACCAUGGGUCAUGAAUGGACUGCAGAAAUUCUGUGACCUCCUGGUGGAGGUUCCAGUUUACUAAAUGGAAACAUUUCUUCUGAGAGGAUCUGUUCCCUGGAUCUACUUAAAAAGCUCAGGGUUAAAUGAGAAGGACCUAACCCUUCUCAUAUAGCCCACCAAGGCUUGUAUCAAGAACAUUAGAUUACUUCCAUGAUUGCUUUUAAUUCUGACAGUCCAUGAAAUGGUCAUAAGGUAUGGGUUGAUAAGGACAUG
rnacentral:lncRNA from 10 species